UCAACGUCAUAUAAAAAACUGAUAACUUGAAAUGUGAAGUCUCAUUUUUAGGUGAUAUACAAUUGUAUUUUAGUAUAUGGUUUUGCUGCAUAAAAGCCUUGGAAACAUAUUUUAAAUUUUAAAACUGAUAACGUAAUUUAACUCAAACUGCUUCAAAUAGAAUAACAUUUAAUGAAUAAGAAGAGCAUUUGUAUGCAUAUACUGUGAACCUACAGAAGAAAACUUGAUCCCACAAAGAUAUAUGCACUAAAGAAAUGUAACAGAAGAAUACAUUAAGAAAAGUGAAUGUACUUCUGAAGGCUGCCAGUUUGAAGGGUGCCAGACUGAAAUGCUGGAGACUGAAGAUUUGUGUUUUUCCACAUAUCAGUUCUGCAAAUGAAUUUUGCUAAUCUAAAACACCAAGAAUGGUUGCCUUGUUUUUUCCAGAAAACUUUUCCCAACUUCUAAGGAAAAAGCUCACUUGAUAUCAUUGACUGGGAUUUUUGGAUUUUCUCCUGCUUCGGCCACAAAGUGAUCACAGGAACUGGCAUAAGUUUCCAUCAGUACACCUCAUUUGCUAUAUUACAGAAUUGUCCAGGUGCAUUGAUUUUUUUCACCUUCCACCAUCCACUACUGGCCACUGGAGAAGAUGAGUCAGGAUUUCAUUUUUCCAGUGGGCUUGUAAUGCUGAGAGCCUAUAGAUGUCUUUGGAACUGCAUAUUACCUGAUCCUGUAUUACUUUGUUACUGACGUGGUCAUAUGUUCCCGACUUCCACCAUACUCCAAUAGAGUAAUUCAGCUUUUUGCCUUUCUCUGACCAAGGUUGUGCAAGAUUACAUCCUGCAAUGUUAGCUGCACAGGUGUAUGAACAGUAUAUUACCCUUUCCUAUCAGCAGGUGGAGAGACAUAAAAUCGAAGAAGUCAUUCUUCAGACAUGAUUUCUCUUUUAAGAAGAAAGUAUCUAUUGCAGCAAUUUCCCUCAUAGUUCAGCCUUUUUGCGACAUAUAUUGGAAAAAUGUUUCUCAUGAAGUCACUAAUAAUACUUACUUCAUUUAUUCAAUACAUUUUACAAAGACUAAUCCUCAGAACACCCCUCUGUUGUAGGUUGCUGACUCGCAUGUGAAUUUUUAUUGGAAGCUUGUCAGCAAUUUAUUUUCUUAUAAAAAGCAAAUCUGUUUAUAUCACCAAAUCUAUUAAGAAAAAGGGGGACAUUAAACUAGAGGUAUAACCUCUCUUGAUAAGCAAUGGUAGGACUAUCUUUAACAGCUCACUUUGAAUAUUAGAUGUGAAAUCCACUUCAGUCAUUUGGAAGCUGGUUCUUUUCCGGUCUUGGAUGAGCAUCAAAGCAGUUCCUCUGUUUUAUCAAUAAAUGGUGACUCAUGCUUUUCAUAGGCUUCCAUAGUGCCCCUCUAACUGUAAAGAAAGAAGGAAGUACUGUCUGAUUUCUCCAAAAUGUUUUCCUAAUGAUCUUCAGCUAGAUGGAAGGUCGCUUUUCUCUGAGGCAAACUAAGCCUUCUCUCUAUACAAUAGUUUGCUCUCUACAAUCUAUGAAACUUGUCUUAUCUCACUAAAGACCACAAAUUAUUCUUCAAUUUAUAUAGACUUCUAUUUAAUAAAAA